rnacentral:rRNA from 1 species
UGCCAGCAGCCGCGGUAAAACGUAGGGGGCGAGCGUUGUCCGGAAUUACUGGGCGUAAAGGGCGUGUAGGCGGCCCGUGAAGUCAGGAGUGAAAACUCGGGGCUCAACCUCGAGAUUGCUUUUGAAACCAGCGGGCUUGAGUGCAGGAGAGGAAAGUGGAAUUCCCAGUGUAGCGGUGAAAUGCGUAGAUAUUGGGAGGAACACCAGUGGCGAAAGCGGCUUUCUGGCCUGUAACUGACGCUGAGGCGCGAAAGCGUGGGGAGCAAACAGGAUUAGAUACCCUGGUAGUCCACGCCGUAAACGAUGGGUGCUAAGUGUUGGGGGUAUCGACCCCCUCAGUGCUGUAGUUAACGCAAUAAGCACCCCGCCUGGGGAGUACGGUCGCAAGACUGAAACUCAAAGGAAUUGACGGGGGCCCGCACAAGC